GACUCAACACGGGAAAACUCACCAGGCCCGGACACUGGAAGGAUUGACAGAUUGAGAGCUCUUUCUUGAUUCAGUGGGUGGUGGUGCAUGGCCGUUCUUAGUUGGUGAAGCGAUUUGUCUGGUUAAUUCCGAUAACGAACGAGACCCUAGCCUGCUAAAUAGGCGUUGGGAUCUUUCACGCUCCUGGCGUGCUAGUCUUCUUAGAGGGACAGGCUGCUUCUAGCAGCAUGAGAUUGGGCAAUAACAGGUCUGAGAUGCCUUUAGAUGUUCUGGGCCGCACGCGCGCUACACUGAAGGAAUCAGCGUGUCUUCCCUGGCCGAAAGGUCCGGGUAACCCGUUGAACCUCCUUCGUGCUAGGGAUUGGGGCUUGCAAUUAUGUCCCAUAAACGAGGAAUUCCUAGUAAGCGCGAGUCAUAAGCUCGCGUUGAUUACGUCCCUGCCCUUUGUACACACCGCCCGUCGCUACUACCGAUUGAAUGAUUUAGUGAGGCCUUCGGACUGGUGCCCGGCGUCAGAGUGUUCCUCUGACAUCG
rnacentral:rRNA from 5 species